AGGAACCGUAUGCGGGAGUUCCGCACGUACGGAUCUGUGGGGGAGGCAUCGGGUAACCGAUGCUUCUACCCGGAA
rnacentral:autocatalytically_spliced_intron from 1 species